UACGUAGGGUGCAAGCGUUGUCCGGAAUUAUUGGGCGUAAAGAGCUCGUAGGCGGUCUGUUGCGUCGGCUGUGAAACCCCGGGGCUUAACUCCGGGCCUGCAGUCGAUACGGGCAGACUAGAGUACGGUAGGGGAGACUGGAAUUCCUGGUGUAGCGGUGAAAUGCGCAGAUAUCAGGAGGAACACCGAUGGCGAAGGCAGAUCUCUGGGCUGUUACUGACGCUGAGGAGCGAAAGCAUGGGGAGCGAACAGGAUUAGAAACCCUGGUAGUCC
rnacentral:rRNA from 1 species